AGAGUUUGAUCCUGGCUCAGGACGAACGCUGGCGGCGUGGAUUAGGCAUGCAAGUCGAACGCGAACGCUAUCCUUCGGGAUAGCAAGUAGAGUGGCGGACGGGUGAGUAACGCGUAGGUAAUUUGCCUUUAAGUGGGGGAUGGCCCCGGGAAACCGGGAUUAAUACCGCAUGUGGAGCUUCGGUUCUAAAGGUGGCCUCUGUUUCAAGCUAUCGCUUAGAGAUAAGCCUCGUCCUAUUAGUUAGUUGGUGAGGUAAUGGCUCACCAAGGCGAUGAUAGGUAGGCGGCCUUAACGGGUGGUCGCCCACACUGGGAUUGAGAUACGGCCCAGACUCCUACGGGAGGCAGCAGUCGAGAAUAGUCUACAAUGGACGAAAGUCUGAUAGUGCGACGCCGCGUGGAUGAAGAAGCAUUUCGGUGUGUAAAAUCCUUUUCUUUGUGAGCAAUGCUUUCUAUAUAAAUAGUAUAGGGAGAGAGAUAUUAGCAGAGGAAUAAGCUCCGGCUAACUCCGUGCCAGCAGCCGCGGUAACACGGGGGGAGCAAGCGUUGUCCGGAAUUACUAGGCGUAAAGGGUAAGUAGGCGGAAUUGUAAGUCAGAUGUUAAAGGCGUCAGCUCAACUGGCGUAUGGCAUUUGAUACUGUAAUUCUAGAGUAAGGUGGGGGAAGACAGAAUUCCUGGUGUAGCGGUGGAAUGCGCAGAUAUCAGGAGGAAUACCAGAGGCGAAGACGGUCUUCUAUACCAUUACUGACGCUCAAUUACGAAGGUGUGGGUAUCGAACAGGAUUAGAUACCCUGGUAGUCCACACAGUAAACGAUAUACACUAGGUGUUGGGGGAGAUGAUCUUUCAGUGCCGCAGCUAACGCGUUAAGUGUAUCGCCUGGGGAGUACGAUCGCAAGGUUAAAACUCAAAGGAAUUGACGGGGCCCCGCACAAGCGGUGGAGCAUGUUGUUAAAUUCGAUGCAACGCGAAGAACCUUACCUGGGCUUGACAUCCCGGGAGUCCUUGAGAGAUCGAGGAGUGCCCCUUCGGGGGAACCCGGUGACAGGUGCUGCAUGGCUGUCGUCAGCUCGUGUCGUGAGAUGUUGGGUUAAGUCCCGCAACGAGCGCAACCCCUAUCUCUAGUUGCCAGCGCGUCAUGGCGGGGACUCUAGAGAGACUGCCAGUGUAAUAAACUGGAGGAAGGUGGGGACGACGUCAAGUCAUCAUGGCCCUUAUGUCCAGGGCUACAAACGUGCUACAAUGGUCGGUACAGAGGGAAGCAAUACCGUGAGGUGGAGCCAAUCUCAGAAAGCCGGUCUCAGUUCGGAUUGGAGUCUGCAACUCGACUCCAUGAAGUUGGAAUCGCUAGUAAUCGCGUAUCAGCAUAACGCGGUGAAUACGUUCCCGGGGCUUGUACACACCGCCCGUCAAGUCAGCCGAGUUGAUUGCACCCGAAGGAGGUGAGCUAACC
rnacentral:rRNA from 1 species